rnacentral:rRNA from 1 species
GACGAACGCUGGCGGCGUGCUUAACACAUGCAAGUCGAACGGAAAGGCCCUGCUUUUGUGGGGUGCUCGAGUGGCGAACGGGUGAGUAACACGUGAGUAACCUGCCCUUGACUUUGGGAUAACUUCAGGAAACUGGGGCUAAUACCGGAUAGGAGCUCCUGCUGCAUGGUGGGGGUUGGAAAGUUUCGGCGGUUGGGGAUGGACUCGCGGCUUAUCAGCUUGUUGGUGGGGUAGUGGCUUACCAAGGCUUUGACGGGUAGCCGGCCUGAGAGGGUGACCGGCCACAUUGGGACUGAGAUACGGCCCAGACUCCUACGGGAGGCAGCAGUGGGGAAUAUUGCACAAUGGGCGGAAGCCUGAUGCAGCAACGCCGCGUGCGGGAUGACGGCCUUCGGGUUGUAAACCGCUUUCGCCUGUGACGAAGCGUGAGUGACGGUAAUGGGUAAAGAAGCACCGGCUAACUACGUGCCAGCAGCCGCGGUGAUACGUAGGGUGCGAGCGUUGUCCGGGUUUAUUGGGCGUAAAGGGCUCGUAGGUGGUUGAUCGCGUCGGAAGUGUAAUCUUGGGGCUUAACCCUGAGCGUGCUUUCGAUACGGGUUGACUUGAGGAAGGUAGGGGAGAAUGGAAUUCCUGGUGGAGCGGUGGAAUGCGCAGAUAUCAGGAGGAACACCAGUGGCGAAGGCGGUUCUCUGGGCCUUUCCUGACGCUGAGGAGCGAAAGCGUGGGGAGCGAACAGGCUUAGAUACCCUGGUAGUCCACGCUGUAAACGGUGGGUACUAGGUGUGGGGUCCAUUCCACGGGUUCCGUGCCGUAGCUAACGCUUUAAGUACCCCGCCUGGGGAGUACGGCCGCAAGGCUAAAACUCAAAGGAAUUGACGGGGCCCCGCACAAGCGGCGGAGCAUGCGGAUUAAUUCGAUGCAACGCGUAGAACCUUACCUGGGUUUGACAUGGAUCGGGAGCGCUCAGAGAUGGGUGUGCCUCUUUUGGGGUCGGUUCACAGGUGGUGCAUGGCUGUCGUCAGCUCGUGUCGUGAGAUGUUGGGUUAAGUCCCGCAACGAGCGCAACCCUUGUUCACUGUUGCCGGCACGUUAUGGUGGGGACUCAGUGGAGACCGCCGGGGUCAACUCGGAGGAAGGUGGGGAUGACGUCAAGUCAUCAUGCCCCUUAUGUCCAGGGCUUCACGCAUGCUACAAUGGCUGGUACAGAGAGUGGCGAGCCUGUGAGGGUGAGCGAAUCUCGGAAAGCCGGUCUCAGUUCGGAUUGGGGUCUGCAACUCGACCUCAUGAAGUCGGAGUCGCUAGUAAUCGCAGAUCAGCAACGCUGCGGUGAAUACGUUCCCGGGGCU